AACGUAGGAGGCAAGCGUUAUCCGGAGUUACUGGGCGUAAAGCGCGUGUAGGCGGAUUGGUAAGUUCCUUCUAAAAGCCCCUGGCUAAACUAGGGGAGGUUGGGUGAUACUGCCAGUCUUGAAUAGAGGAGAGGUUGACGGAAUUCCGCGUGUAGUGGUGAAAUGCGUAGAGAUGCGGAAGAACACCAGUGGCGAAGGCGGUCAACUGGCCGCAUAUUGACACUCAGACGCGAAGGCAUGGGUAGCGAACGGG
rnacentral:rRNA from 1 species